AUAACAGAUACUUGACUUUUAUAACUUGCUAACUAUAGUAAAGAUCCCUAGAAGAACUUAGGUGGUUUCCACUGGAUUAAAAAACAACGUUAUUUCUCUGCUUUCCCCCAAAUCCCCACAUAACAACAAAAACCUAACUUGUGAAAGGUCUUAAGCUCUUACUGUUUUUAAGUAGAACUUGGAUUUUGAGAUAUUUUUAAGUUUGUAAAGCUGUUUCUUCUGACAGUAAUAGAGAUAAAAGUAGAGCAUUCAUACUCAAAUCCUUGUUGGUUUGGAAUUUCAAGCAAGGAUGUGAAGACAGAAGCACUCUACGAGCACUGGAAGUAUCUGGGAUACUUACGCCUGCUUAUUUUUUGUGGUUUUUAGUUUCUUUCAAAAUGAAGAUUCACUCAGUGGUUGUAGCUGUCUUGAUAAGCCAGGUUCUAGUUUACGAAGUUUUAUUCCAGAGGGAAAAAAGCCACUUCACCUAGAAAUCUUCCAAACAAAUCAACUUUUGCUCUGUGAGUAAUCCAGGCUAUCAAGACUACAUUUUAGCUGACGGCAAGGCCUCUGAGGCACGGAAAUUCACAGCUGAGUUCUUGGAGAAGGUCCUUGAGCCAUCUGGAUGGCGUGCAGUCUGGCACAUAAUGUGCUCAAGGUGCUGCUUGAGGUGACAGAUGUGGCCAUUUCAGCCUUGAAGGCAGUGGUGCAGCUUGCUGAGCCAUACCUCUGUGAAUCUUGAGCAAGCACUUUCACCUUGGAGUGUAUGAGAGAGCUCUUCGAGCUGAAGGAACAUCAGUUGCUCCUGCAGGAGCUGGGUGGUGUUUGAUGAUUCUGGAGUGUUUGACUAGACAGCACUUGCAACUGAGCAUGUCAGGUAUGAAGGAGGUAUCUGGUCAGAGAAGGUGUUUUCUGAGGCUGCUUCCCGGAUCCCUAGGGGAUGUGUUCCUGCCAUUCAGCCUUUUUGGCAGUUAUUUCCACUUGUACAAGCAGACUUUUGUCACUUACCUGAGAAAGAAAGCCCACACCUGGAUUAAUAUUAAUAGGUAUGAUUUAAAAUUUUUUUCAGAUAAAUCUUCUAUCAGAUAGUGCCUGAUACAGAUAGUUCUUUUGGAUUUUCUAUAUAUAAGUAUAUUCACUGUAGAGGGCUACUUUUAGCCAUGUAAAAAUGGACUUAUAUUCUUCUAGUAACUGGAAGACUGGCUAAUGCAAUGAUCAUAAUAGUUAAUAAUGUUGCUUGGUGUUUUGUAGUUUUGAAAGUACUUUUCCUGUUUCUAUACCAUUAGUCAGCUAACCAGGUUUUGCUAAGCUUAGUUUACAUACUUGAUAAAGAAGCAGAGUGCCUCAGACGCUGCUUCUGACAUCUUAUGUACAAUCUCUAAUUGCAUGCGAGAACAUUUAACCCUGGUGUUCAGUUUUAAGCCAAGCAAUAUAAAUCUAAAGAACUGGUUUCUGUCCAGGACCAAAAUAACUCCCUUAUGUUUCUCUUGCUUUAAAAUAGUCUGUCAGUCGAAGCAUUUGAAGGUGAAGGGAUAACUGAUGAGUUUAGGAAAUUAGGAGAGAGGGUGCCAAUCUCUACGGGUAUAGAAGUUGGUAGAAAGACAAGUACCUGGAACUGGUAAGAGUUCCUGUUAAGGAAGAGGAGCCUGAUUUUUUUUUUUUUUUUUUUUUUGAGACGGAGUCUUUGCUGUGUCACCCAGGCUGAAGUUCAGUGGCGCGGUCUCAGCUCACUGCAAGCUCGCCUCCUGGGUUCACGCCAUUCUCCUGCCUCAGCCUCCCGAGUAGCUGGGACUACAGGCGCCCGCUACCAUGCCCGGCUAAUUUUUUGUAUUUUUAGUAGAGACGGGGUUUCACCGUGUUAGCCAGGAUGGUCUGGAUCUCCUGACCUUGUGAUCCGCCUGUCUCGGCCUCCCAAAGUGCUGGGAUUACAGGUGUGAGCCACCAGGCCUGGCCAAGAGGAGCCUGAUUACAUUUACUCUCCAUGUUGAGGACUCAGAUUCUGGUCAGUGACUAGAGAAGGUCAAAUUAUGAGGGUUUUCAUUUGCCCAUUGAUUCGGUAAGUGUGGAGUGCUGGGUUCUCAGUUGAGGGUGGGGUAUGACUGGUGCACAAAACCAACACCUUUGUCGGGGAGCUGCCAGUCUACAGGUGGGAGGUGAAGCUGUAUAGAAUAAUCACAUAAGGAUGCAGAUGCAAUUGGAAGGAGCCGUGAGCACCAUGAAGAAUUUCAGAGUGUCCUAAGACUGGGUCAGGUUGCCGUUCUGUGCUUAUUUCCGGAGGAAAUGACAUUCGAAUUUAGGUCUAAAAGGUGAAAGGAGUGGCAGGUGAAAGGGGUGGCGGAGAUGGGGGAACAGGUUCAGGAACUCAGUGGGUUUAAGGAGCUGCAAGGUCAAUGUGGCCAGAACAUAGUGCUGGGAGAGGCAUAGGAAGUCAGGGUAGAGAGGUUGGCAGGGCUCAGACAGUGCAGGGCUCUGUCAACCAGUGAAUCAUUUUGUAAGAGCAUGAAAAACCAUUGAGGGGUUUUUAUUUUGGGGUGAAUAUGACUUGCUUUGUGUUUUUAAAGGUUCAUUCUGGCUGCUGUGUGGAAAACAAAU
rnacentral:lncRNA from 1 species